rnacentral:rRNA from 1 species
GUGCCAGCAGCCGCGGUAAUACGGAGGGGGCGAGCGUUAUUCGGAAUUAUUGGGCGUAAAGGGCGCGUAGGCGGCCCAGCAAGUCAAAGGUGAAAUCCCUCGGCUCAACUGAGGAACUGCCUUUGAAACUGCGGGGCUUGAGUCCGGGAGGGGGUAGCGGAAUUCCCAGUGUAGCGGUGAAAUGCGUAGAUAUUGGGAGGAACACCAGUGGCGAAGGCGGCUACCUGGACCGGAACUGACGCUGAUGCGCGAAAGCGUGGGUAGCAAACAGGAUUAGAAACCCUCGUAGUCC